UACGUAGGGUGCAAGCGUUGUCCGGAAUUAUUGGGCGUAAAGAGCUCGUAGGCGGUUUGUUGCGUCGGCUGUGAAAUCCCGAGGCUCAACCUCGGGUCUGCAGUCGAUACGAGCAAACUAGAGUGUUGCAGGGGAGACUGGAAUUCCUGGUGUAGCGGUGAAAUGCGUAGAGAUCAGCAGGAAUACCCGUGGCGAAGGCGGCCCCCUGGGCCGAACCUGACGCUGAGGCGCGAAGGCUAGGGGAGCAAACGGG
rnacentral:rRNA from 1 species